CCCGCUUUUAUCAUCGUCAUUGCAAUGGAACGGUGCAGGGAAACAACGCCAUUUACCCUAUGCCUCGGUGACCUCGAAAACAGAACUAUUUUUAACGGCUUUUUUUUCUUGACUUGUUUUGUCAGACUUAAUGAAAUACAUGAUUUCUUGAGACAGACAACUUUUAAGUGCUUUGGGUUAGGGCUAGGCGACGAUUCAUCCACGAUCCACAAGCCCAGCGAUCUUUUGUGUGAUCCUGUGUCUUACUUCCUUGUAUUUAUGUACUGAAAACUAUAGGUAAUAUCAAUACACCUCGACUUUUUGCAGCCAUCAUGACAGUUCCGUUUACCAAGUCGCUGUACAGAUAGAGAAAUUCGAAGCAUAUAAAUUGGAUCCCAAGCUUUAAAUGUUAUAUACUGCAUUCAAAUUCUUAUGCAUCCUUAUAUAUUACAACUUUACGCGCUAUUGAAAUACAAUAAAAGCCUAAGUGAUGACGUUUCUGAACGAA